GCCAAUGUAGUAUAGUGGUCAGGGUACUGGACUAGGACCUGGGAGACCAGGGUUCAAAUCCCCACUCAGGCA